UGGCGAACGGGUGAGUAACACGUGGGUGAUCUGCCCUGCACUCUGGGAUAAGCCUGGGAAACUGGGUCUAAUACCGGAUAGGACCGCACUUUAGUGUGUGUGGUGGAAAGUUUUUUCGGUGUAGGAUGAGCCCGCGGCCUAUCAGCUUGUUGGUGGGGUAAUGGCCUACCAAGGCGGCGACGGGUAGCCGGACUGAGAGGUUGGUCGGCCACAUUGGGACUGAGAUACGGCCCAG
rnacentral:rRNA from 1 species